UACAGAGGUCUCAAGCGUUGUUCGGAUUCAUUGGGCGUAAAGGGUGCGUAGGCGGCGCGGUAAGUCGGGUGUGAAAUCUCGGGAGCUUAACUCCGAAACUGCAUUCGAUACUGCCGUGCUUUGAGGACUGGAGAGGAGACUGGAAUUUACGGUGUAGCGGUGAAAUGCGUAGAUAUCGUAAGGAAGACCAGUGGCGAAGGCGGGUCUCUGGACAGUUCCUGACGCUGAGGCACGAAGGUCAGGGGAGCAAACGGG
rnacentral:rRNA from 1 species